rnacentral:rRNA from 1 species
CGUACCGAAAGGUGCGCUAAUACCGAAUAAUGCUGAGUGACAUCAGUCAUUUAGCCAAAGGAGGCCUCUGCUUGCAAGCUUUCGCUGAAGGAUGAGUCCGCGUACCAUUAGCUAGUUGGUAGGGUAAUGGCCUACCAAGGCGACGAUGGUUAGCUGGUCUGAGAGGAUGAUCAGCCACACUGGAACUGAGACACGGUCCAGACUCCUACGGGAGGCAGCAGUGAGGAAUAUUGCGCAAUGGGGGCAACCCUGACGCAGCAACGCCGCGUGAGUGAGGAAGGUUUUCGGACUGUAAAGCUCUGUCGAGCGGGAAGAAAUGCAUGCUGGCUAAUAUCCAUCAUGCUUGACGGUACCGCUAAAGGAAGCACCGGCUAACUCCGUGCCAGCAGCCGCGGUAAUACGGGGGGUG